rnacentral:lncRNA from 1 species
AUUUUUAUGCUGUUAUGGAAAUUGCAAUGCCCCAAAGCCUUAAUCUGUUUUAGUCACAAGAGUUGACCUGGUACUGCUUCUGUCACAGGUUGAUUCAAGUAGAAGAGUCUGGUCUGCCAGCUCUUUUCUUGUUCGAACUGGAACAUAUCAGAGGAUGAAUGGUGAAUUCUUCAUCCAUCAAAUGUGUCUCCAUCCCUGUAUAUGAAACUUGAACAGAUAAGAAAAUGUGGUAUAGAGGGAGAAGAAAAUAUUGCUCAGUCUCAAAAAGGGAAGAAAUCCUGUCAUAUGCACAAAAUGGAUGAACAUAAAGGACAUUUUGUAACACAAAAUAAGCCAAUCACAGAAGAACAAAUACUGCAUGAGUCCAGUUAUCUGAGGGUAUGCUCUUUAUACUGUUCUCAGUGCUGAGCACAUACUAAGAUGAUGGAGACAUUGUACACGUAUGUCCAAAACAAGCCUUUUCUUUUUCAGUUAAUCUGUGC